rnacentral:tRNA from 1 species
UAAAAUAAAGCUUAUAUAGCUAUUCAAUUACAACGAAGAGAAGCUGUUAAAUCAGUAUAUUUUAU